UACGUAGGGGGCGAGCGUUAUCCGGAAUUACUGGGCGUAAAGCGCACGCAGGCGGUUCGCCAAGUUUGGAGUGACAGUUGUUCGGCUCAACCGACAAAAGGACUUCAAAAACUGGUGAACUUGAGGACGAGAGAGGAACAUGGAACUCCAGGUGUAGUAGUGAAAUGCGUAGAUAUCUGGAAAGAACACCAAUGGCGAAGGCAAUGUUCUGGCUCGUUUCUGACGCUCAGGUGCGAAAGCCAGGGGAGCGAACGGG
rnacentral:rRNA from 1 species